GAUGAACGCUGGCGGCGUGCCUAAUACAUGCAAGUCGAGCGAACAGACGAGGAGCUUGCUCCUCUGACGUUAGCGGCGGACGGGUGAGUAACACGUGGAUAACCUACCUAUAAGACUGGGAUAACUUCGGGAAACCGGAGCUAAUACCGGAUAAUAUAUUGAACCGCAUGGUUCAAUAGUGAAAGACGGUUUUGCUGUCACUUAUAGAUGGAUCCGCGCCGCAUUAGCUAGUUGGUAAGGUAACGGCUUACCAAGGCAACGAUGCGUAGCCGACCUGAGAGGGUGAUCGGCCACACGGGAACUGAGACACGGUCCAGACUCCUACGGGAAGCAGCAGUAGGGAAUCUUCCGCAAUGGGCGAAAGCCUGACGGAGCAACGCCGCGUGAGUGAUGAAGGUCUUCGGAUCGUAAAACUCUGUUAUUAGGGAAGAACAAAUGUGUAAGUAACUAUGCACGUCUUGACGGUACCUAAUCAGAAAGCCACGGCUAACUACGUG
rnacentral:rRNA from 1 species